rnacentral:lncRNA from 1 species
GCGAUUAAAAAACAAAACAAAGGGCUGAUAAAAAACAAAGGGAGAAAAUACCACCUUCUAGCUGGGCGAAAGAGCAGAUGCGGAGCAGAGGCGCAUCCGCGCGGAGGAGCCGAGGCGAAGAAGGCGAUGCAGGUACUUCUUCAUCCACGCCUUGCAUUUUUAUCCUCCUCCCACCUCCCGUUCGAAUCCGCGUCGGGCCACCACAUCCCAGCUCCACCUCCCCCCUCGGGCCGCCGCAUCCUAGCUGCCUCUAUUGCUUCUUCAGUGACGGUGCAUUCAGCCAUAUUGCGCAUCCUCUCACUCCGUAAGGAACCAGUUCGCUCGUCAUCUUCCUCGCGUCUGACCUCAUCUCUACCCCCACCGUCGUUCGUGCCUUCAUACUCCGUUCCCUGUGGCCGCCAUCGGGACGUGCUGCUAUUCGCUCCCGAGGUGGCCACGAGGCUCUCCGUGCCCAAGCUGCCUCUACGCACUGGCAGCACCGCCUGCUGUGCGUGCCUCCUGGUGUACCCGCCGCAGGGUCCUAGCCAUGGCAAGCCCACGAAUAGAGAAAGCCAACAACAUAUUCCGCCAUUCCUCAUUCUAUGUUCUGAUGUUUCUUCCCACAUCUUCCAUCGGCCAAUGUGACAUUUUGAAGAACAUAGCGUCGCCUUUGCUAAAGACUCCAUCCGUGCGUGCUAGCUAUUUGAUGAUACGCCUCAGCAAAAUGUGUUGUCCAGGUCGCCCUGUUGUGUUGCACUGUUGCACACGGUCAUGUUGUAUGACGCAUGCACAAUUGCAUACAUGCUUAGCCACGCCCGCACUAUACGCUGUUGAUCCUCUUCAUCCUCCACAUGCUAAUGCGGUAUUUCAAAUAUGCCAUGCUUUAUAUAUGUGCAUAUAUUGAUGCAUACACACACGCACAUAUGUAUUUUUGUGUGUGCGCAUAUGUAUGUAUGGAUACACACAUCAGAGUAAUAGGAAUGUUUAUAUGUCAAGAGGAAAGAGCUGAUUGAAUUUGUAUUUUCCGUAGUGGAGAAGGGAACGUAACAAAUGUUAACUAACUACUAUAAAUGAAACACAUAAAAGGUUAGUCAAAUAUGUACCAUAUAAACCCAAAGGAAAUGGUUGUAAUUUUUAAAAAAAAACUAUUAUGUAAAAAAUAUAAAUCUAGAAGUAAGAUUGUAACACGUACCUGUCUUCGAGCGAGGUCUUCUUUUUUUAGACUAAUCGGGAUGAAGAGUAGAACAAUAAAAUGAUAAUGUGACAGAGAGGUAAGGGUAAACAUUAGCUUUCAAUCGGUUGCAGUUAAAAAAAGUGCUAAUGUAACUGGCAAACCUUUUAAAAAGAAAUGUCAUAUUAAGCCAUAUAUGCCACCAUUUUCUCAACACAUAUAUUCAGUAUUUGUGCAACCUUUUGUACCGGUUGACCAUGAUAUUCUUCUAAUCUGAACGCCAAAGGUUGUGAAGACACCUGAAUCGACGAUUUCAUUUUAUUAGCCAUAUCAUAGGAAGGAAUUGAGGGCAAGCAAAAAACAAGCAUAUUGGGAUUAUAUGGUUACUUUCCAACAUGCUUGUUUUAUAUAUCAUCGUAUCUCUAUUUGUUUCUAUCAAAAAAAAACCAUCAACAUUAUAGUUAUAAUAGCCUUAUAUAUAGUAUCCCUCCUUUAAUAUACAUAUUUUUCAGGGGCGAACCCAACAAAAAGUUUGAGUGGGGCCCAAAACCUGAGUGGGGUCUAAAUAAAUACCUAUUUACUAAUGGACCUUUAUAGCUAUAGUGAAUAAGAUAAAAACUCCAUUAGAAUCAGAAAAUUGAGUCAGCCCAACGUGAGUCCGCCCCUGAUAUUUUUGGUAGAAUCGUACAAACUAGCGCGCGUAGGAAGCGCGUUAGACACUAGUGUUAUGUAAUAGUGGGCUGGACGAGCUGUGGUUUCGUGAGAGUAUAAGUACUUGAACAAUGUAAUAGGCUGGUAACUUUUUGAGAAGAGCAAAAUAUACGCCGCCACUCCGUCCGGCGUUCGUCUCCCCUCCCCCACGCCAUAGCCAUACCUCCCUAACACGAGGUUCCAUCACCCACAAUCACAAAAUGGAAGCUUCAAAGAAUGUCUUGACCACGUUUGGCACUUCGAUAGGUAGGCUUGCCCAUACUCUGGUCUGAUCAGUGUGUUGCAACCAUAGCCAACGUGUUUGAAGUGCCAUGCCAGCUAUAGAGAAGUUUUUGACCCCAAGUUCACUAGAAGAUUUUGGCUGACAAAUAUAAUGCCAAGCCACUACCGCCUUCCCAUUUGUUGAGUUAUCUGAGCCUGUCCAAAAGAAUAUACGAGCAAUGGUAUUAAUUCCUUUCUUAACCCAAGUAGGAACUUGCUCAGCCAUCAACGCAAAAUUUGGAAGUUCCAGCAGUGUGGAUUGAAUUAGAAUAAGGUGACCACUUUUUUCUAACAAGGAUCUUGCCAAGCUGGUAGUUUUUUGGCCACUUUAUCAACUAUAGGUCGAAGGUGGGAAUUUGGAAUCAUUCUAGUUGAUAGCGGCAACUCCAAGGUUAGUUUGGUAGCCACAAAAUCGAAGGGGAUUUUGAAUAAAGAAGUGAUUUUAGUCUCUCUAAUCUCUUCCGGUUUUUAAACUCCUAAACUAGGCCUAAAUAUUUGAUCGGGGUCGAAAAGAGCUAGCAGUUAAAAAUACGAGGAAUUAGCACAAAACUUUCUAUAUUAGAGUGGUUUGGUACUAACACAUAGACAUUAAAGUCGAUACGUUCAGAUAAGAUCUCAAUUGGUUGGCCUGUGCUCUUGACGAUCCGAGUUGUGCCCGUCAUAAAAUCUCUCACCCAUGCAAGCAAAUCGCAUGAAAUUUAACGUAAGAAAAUGAAACUUGAGGCACCUAGAUGCAUCAUACAUGCAUGCUAUCAUCUCCGUACGAAACACCGCAAGGUCAUUUCCCUCUUUCCGUGCAGAAACUAGACUUGCUUCUGAGUGCAUCUAGAUGGUUAGGUUUUCAGAUCAAUAAGCUCUGUUACUAGGACACAUGAACAUACAAUAAGCUAGUGCUGCUGCUGUUUACAUCUUCGUUGCUCGUUGGACGGGUUAGCCAUUGCGAUUUGAUAUACACACACAUAUAGUAAUUUGCAUAUAGCAUAGAUAAUAAGCUAACAAAGAAACUUGUACAAUAUAGUUGUAUAUUAAUUAACUCCAAUAGACAUCACAAUAAUUUUUCAUAUAUGAUAUAUAUGGAGAAACAAGACUUACAUGAUUACAUCUCUGUUAACUUGAACUUGCUUCCACGAAGACCGCCCAAAUUAAAUGAUUCUAUUAUAUAUAAGAGAGCUAAUCUUCAUGGUCAAUUCCUUCUCAAUACAUAUGAUCAUAUAAAUUUGUGGAAAAUCAUAUUCUAUUCUAUUCUAUUCUAUUCUAUAAGCGUGUGUCGGUGCCCUGAAUAUGCUUUGGGCACUCAUUCCUGCUAUGUCAAAGUGAGACCCUAGUGGCCACCGUUGAAGAUCUCACGGGCAGCCGACCUAACAUGGGGCUGAGGCCCACCAUAUGGAGUCGUGGCUAGACCAGGUUCGUCUCUUGGGCUGGACGACCGUCUACAUCAAGCCCCAUAAAGGGAGGAACCGACAACUUCAAGUCUGGGAUCCUGCAUAUAGGACCAGGACCUCCUUGUGACCCGACGAAUCUCCGGACAAAGGGAUCCGGAUAGAACAUAAAGCCACGGAGGAGAAGGCACUCUCCGGUUACAGCACCAAGGCUUCAGAAUGGUUCCAAGAAUGGGAAAUAACACCCGAACCUCAGGCCACGUGAGGUCCGGUAUCGCCACGUAUCCAGGCGUGGGUGGCCGAAGCCCGGACCCCCUCGAGUGCGAUCCGGGCCCAUGAUCAGGGAAUGCUUGGGAAUACCAUGUCGUCGCUUAUUCUCGGGCCUAUCCCUUAUCCAGGCAGGGGCAUGAAGAGACGGAUGGAGAAGACGAGAUGACAUGAUCGUUACACCCUACGCACGAGAGCGUAUCAGGCUACACCGCAACCUACAUCAAGACCUGAGUUCCGAUUAGACGGGGCAAGGUGACAGGAUAAGGACGACAGAAGAUCGUGCAACGUCCAAGAAGGGAUACAGACUCAUGAAGAUCUAGCGUUGUCAGCUCUACCCAAUUGUUUCUCGUUCCAUAUUGUACUCUCUUAGGCCCAUCGGUCAGAGCCAAAACUCCCUUGUAUGUGCCUUCCUUGGACUAUAAAAGGGAGAGCACUUGCUCUGUAGCAGGGAGAGGUCAAUCUAACACUCGGACCUUCGACUCCCUAACUCUAAAGCAAUAUAACUCAUAGUGAAUGUGAGAUACUAUGCUCCGGUGGCCUGAAACGCUCUAAACCCUUGUGUUCUUGUGUCCAUCUAGAAGGCCAGACAAUCAACUAAACCUACUCCUCAUCAGAGUACCAGGGCGGAUGCAAUCUACCACCCGGCCGGAGGAUUCGCCCCUGCAACAACGUGUUUUGACAAUUUUUGUAGUUGAAAACACUAUCUUAGUGGUUGCAGGUUAGGCAAGAGGGACUACCAUUAAUCUUAAUAAUCUAUUAAUCCGUAGAACUUUUACCCAAUUUAAUGAGUCCUUUCAUCAGCGAGUGAUGGUAAUGUAUUUAGCUCUAGGUGAUGUAUACACCAAGCUGAUAAUGUGGAAGUUGGCGUUUUAAUUGGAACUUUCUUGAUUGAAAAAUCAGUGGUGUAACUUUGAUAUAUCAAAAGUGUCUGUUCUUGGAUUCAAAGAAACAGAGAGCGAUAAAAGCUCUAUCGCAAAGCUAAAACGAUCAUCUAACUCAAUUAGUUGUUGAUCAACCGUUACAUUAAACACAUCUACUUUAUAAUAGUGAAGAGUUACAGUGUUACCACGCUUGUCACUGUAUUACGUCGCCAUAGCAAGCUUGAUUCCAAUAUGCUCCAUCCAUCCACAGGACAGGAUUGUGAUAACUGAUGAGACCAAGAUAUGAGCCGGCGUUGUUAUCAUGGUGUCAUAUAUAGUUUACCUUCAUCCCCUACCGGCCUGAUGAUUCUGAGGAAGUGACGUGAUUCAACUGCAGCAUUAUAUGUUUCUUCUCUUAACAAUGUUUUUUUAUAAAAAAAAAGAACACAGAAGUUUGAUAAAUUUUGCAUGAAAAAGCAAUCCUGUCAAAUUGCUUUGAGAUUUAUGUGUUCAAAACAGCCUCGUCUUAGUUGCUAUUGCACCUUUACUCAUGUACUAGGUAGGGUGUUUGGUGCAUGCCGCAGGAUGCCGAGCCGUAGCUGAUUCGUGCCAAACAUUUGGAAGACUUGGGCAUAAAAAUACACUGAGCUUCGACGUCUCAGUUGCGGCAAGAUUAUACAUUUUGGCAUCUCUGGAUUGAAAUUCUUGUGUGUCGCAAGGAACACAGAACUCCGUUGCGUUUGUGCUAUUAUCAGGAAUUACAGGCAGAGUGGAGAAAAUGAGGAAAAAGAAUUAUAUAUAGCAGGAGCACCGCACCACCAAGGGGACUCAGGCUCAGCCAGCGAGGGCGUCGGCACCGGCGACGAUCUCGAGGAUCUCCCCGGUGAUCUUGGCCUGGCGCUGUCGGUUGUAGGCGAUGGAGAGGUUCUUGCGGAGCUCGAUGGCGUUGUCGGUGGCGCUGCUCAUGGCGCUCAUCCGGGCGGCGAGCUCGCUGGCGAGCGACUCCUGCAGGGCACGGAGGAUCUGGCUGUUGAGGUAGAGCGGGAGCAGCGCGUCCAGGAUCUGCACGGGGUCCUGCUCGAACUGCACCACGGGGGAGAAGGGCUGCGUCUCGAUCUUCACCUUCUCGCGCUCCACGGUGAGCUUCCCCUCCUUGGUGGUGAGGCGGAAGAGCUCGUCCUCGGUGGCGUCCACGCAGACGCCGUUGACGUCGCAGAUCUCGCCCUUGGGCGACAUGGGGAGCAGCGUCUGGAUGAUGGGGUCGGAGCGCACCAGCGACACGAACUUGGAGUAGAGCAGCUCCACCUUGUCCACCUCCUCGGAGACGAAGAGCGAGUAGACGAGGUCGCAGAUGGCCUGCGAGUCCUUGACGGUGGGCACGCUGCUCACCUCUAGAUCGCGCUCCAACGGGAUGUAGGGGCGGCGCUGGAAGUAGGCGUUGCCCUUCUUCCCCACGCUGACGACGGUGUACUGGAGGCCCAGCUGCUUGAGCUCAUCGAUGCGGGUUUCCGCCUUCUUGAGCACGUUGUUGUUGAAGCUCCCGCAGAGGCCGCGCUCGCCGGUCAGGACCACGAGGGCCACCUUCUUGACGGGGCGGGUGCGGGUGAGGGGCAGGUCGAUGUCCUCCGUCUGGAUCUCCUGGUUCAUGUUGUAGAGCACCUCCACCAGCGCCUCCGAGAAAGGGCGAGAGGAGACGACGGCCUCCUGCGCGCGCCGGACCUUGGCGGCGGCC